rnacentral:lncRNA from 1 species
CUUACUAAACCUCUGCCUGGCACUUCACUUCUUCCGCUGCUUACCAAGUUGCAGGUGGUUUCCCCCUCCAACUUGAGGGGGGGUGUUGGGAUAAGAGAUGCUACAUGAUUUAGCUUUGUAUAGACUUGUAUAUUUUGUGUAUACUCGUGUAUAUUAUAGGUAUAUUUUCGGAAUUGGGUUGUAACUGGGCUGUGAUGAUUUGUGUGUCUGAG